rnacentral:rRNA from 1 species
AAAGCUGGCGGCGUGCCUAACACAUGCAAGUCGAACGGGACUUGGGGCUUCGGCUCCAAGUUGAGUGGCGAACGGGUGAGUAACACGUGGGUGAUCUACCUUCGAGCGGGGGAUAACGUUCCGAAAGGAACGCUAAUACCGCAUGACGUCUUGGGUUUAAAGACCUGGAGACCAAAGCUAGGGACCGCAAGGCCUGGCACUUGAAGAGGAGCCCGCGUCCGAUUAGCUAGUUGGCGGGGUAACGGCCCACCAAGGCGACGAUCGGUAGCCGGCCUGAGAGGGCGGACGGCCACACUGGGAUUGAGACACGGCCCAGAAUCCUACGGGAGGCAGCAGUGGGGAAUUGUUCACAAUGGGCGCAAGCCUGAUGACGCAACGCCGCGUGGGGGAUGAAGGCUUUUGGGUUGUAAACCCCUGUCGAAUGGGACGAAGAACCGCCGGAUCAAUACCCCGGGGGAGUGACGGUACCGUUAAAGGAA